CCUACGGGCGGCAGCAGUCGAGAAUCAUUCACAAUGGGGGAAACCCUGAUGGUGUGACGCCGCGUGGGGGAAUGAAGGUCUUCGGAUUGUAAACCCCUGUCAUGUGGGAGCAAAUUAAAAAGAUAGUACCACAAGAGGAAGAGACGGCUAACUCUGUGCCAGCAGCCGCGGUAAUACAGAGGUCUCAAGCGUUGUUCGGAAUCACUGGGCGUAAAGCGUGCGUAGGCUGUUUCGUAAGUCGUGUGUGAAAGGCGCGGGCUCAACCCGCGGACGGCACAUGAUACUGCGAGACUAGAGUAAGGGAGGGGGAACCGGAAUUCUCGGUGUAGCAGUGAAAUGCGUAGAUAUCGAGAGGAACACUCGUGGCGAAGGCGGGUUCCUGGACAUUAACUGACGCUGAGGCACGAAGGCCAGGGGAGCGAAAGGGAUUAGAUACCCCAGUAGUC
rnacentral:rRNA from 1 species